UGGGGAAUCUUGGACAAUGGGGGAAACCCUGAUCCAGCAAUGCCGCGUGUGCGAAGAAGGCCUUCGGGUUGUAAAGCACUUUUGUCUGGGAAGAAAUGGUUUGAGCUAAUACCUCAAGUUGAUGACAGUACCAGAAGAAUAAGCACCGGCUAACUACGUGCCAGCAGCCGCGGUAAUACGUAGGGUGCGAGCGUUAAUCGGAAUUAUUGGGCGUAAAGGGUGCGCAGGCGGUUUUUUAAGUCAGAUGUGAAAUCCCCGAGCUUAACUUGGGAACUGCAUUUGAAACUGAAAGACUAGAGUGUGCGAGAGGGGGGUGGAAUUCCGCGUGUAGCAGUGAAAUGCGUAGAUGUGCGGAGGAACAUCAAUGGCGAAGGCAGCCCCCUGGCGUAACACUGACGCUCAUGCACGAAAGCGUGGGGAGCAAACA
rnacentral:rRNA from 1 species